AUUGAACGCUGGCGGCAGGCUUAACACAUGCAAGUCGAGCGAGCGGCGGACGGGCGAGUACUGUCUGGGAAACUGUCGCAUGGAGGGGGGUAACACCUUGACACGGUAGCUAAUACCGCAUACUAUCUGAUGUGCUCAUAUGGGAUUAGCUAGUAGGUGGGGUAAGGGCUCACCUAGGCGACGAUCCCUAGCUGGUCUGUGAGGAUGACCAGCAAGACUGGGACUGAGACACGGUACAGACUCCUACGGGAGGCAGCAGUGGGGAAUAUUGCACAAUGGGAGCAAGCCUGAUGCAGCCAGGCGGCGUGUGUGAAGAAGGCCUUCGGGUUGUAAAGCGCUUUCAGCAGGGAGGCGUUACCCGCAGAAGAAGCACCGGCUAACUCCGUGCCAGCAGCCGCGGUAAUAC
rnacentral:rRNA from 1 species